rnacentral:rRNA from 1 species
AUUGAACGCUGGCGGCAUGCUUUACACAUGCAAGUCGAACGGUAACAGGCCGCAAGGUGCUGACGAGUGGCGAACGGGUGAGUAAUGCAUCGGAACGUGCCCAGUCGUGGGGGAUAACGCAGCGAAAGCUGCGCUAAUACCGCAUACGAUCUAUGGCUGAAAGCGGGGGACCGUAAGGCCUCGCGCGAUUGGAGCGUCCGAUGUCAGAUUAGGUAGUUGGUGGGGUAAAGGCUCACCAAGCCAACGAUCUGUAGCUGGUCUGAGAGGACGACCAGCCACACUGGGACUGAGACACGGCCCAGACUCCUACGGGAGGCAGCAGUGGGGAAUUUUGGACAAUGGGCGCAAGCCUGAUCCAGCAAUGCCGCGUGCAGGAAGAAGGCCUUCGGGUUGUAAACUGCUUUUGUACGGAACGAAAAGGCUCUGGUUAAUACCUGGGGCUCAUGACGGUACCGUAAGAAUAGGCACCGGCUAACUACGUGCCAGCCGCCGCUGUAACAC